GGGGACCCGCAAGCGGUGGAGCAUGUGGUUUAAUUCGAAGCAACGCGAAGAACCUUACCAAAUCUUGACAUCCUCUGACCACCCUGGAGACAGGGUUUCCCUUCGGGGCAGAGUGACAGGUGGUGCAUGGUUGUCGUCAGCUCGUGUCGUGAGAUGUUGGGUUAAGUCCCGCAACGAGCGCAACCCUUAUCAUUAGUUGCCAGCAUUCAGUUGGGCACUCUAAUGAGACUGCCGGUGACAAACCGGAGGAAGGUGGGGAUGACGUCAAAUCAUCAUGCCCCUUAUGAUUUGGGCUACACACGUGCUACAAUGGACAGGUAACAAAGGGCAGCUAAGCCGCGAGGCCAAGCGAAUCCCAUAAAACUGUUCUCAGUUCGGAUUGGAGUCUGCAACUCGACUCCAUGAAGCUGGAAUCGCUAGUAAUCGUGGAUCAGAAUGCCACGGUGAAUACGUUCCCGGGGUCUUGUACACACC
rnacentral:rRNA from 1 species